ensembl:misc_RNA 7SK 7SK RNA
GGAUGUGAGGGCGAUCCGGCUGCGACAUCUGUCACCCUAAUGAUCGCCAGGGUUGAUUGGGCUGAUCUGGCUGGCUAGGCAGAUAUCCCUUUCCUCACUCACGGAUUCAUGUGCGUCCCUCCCGAAGCUGCAUGCUUGGUCAAAGAGGGCAGCCUUGCCUGAAUAGAGAGGGACUAGAGACGGACAGGUCUUCAGUUAAGGGUGUUAAGAGUAGCUGCGCUCCUGUGCUCUCAAAACACAAGGACCUGGGUUUGAGUCCCCAGUUCCUACCUGCAGGGAGAAAGUUUUUCAGGUGGUGAAGCAGUGCUGCAGGUGUCUCUCUGU